rnacentral:tRNA from 2 species
CGGGAAAUAGCUCAGCUUGGUAGAGCACCACGUUCGGGACGUGGGGGUCGCAAGUUCAAAUCUUGUUUUCCCGA